CUCUGUUCACGGAAAGGGCCUGGGAGCUGCAACACCUCAACAGCAACAAGCACACCUGCUACCUAGAACUUGGUUUCUAAAAACCAUCCUCCUCUAAAAGGAAACAGAGCUCUUUGAAGAAACGAGACAGAUCUCAUUAUGUUGCCCAGGGUGAUCCUUGAUCUCCUGGCCUCAAGUGAUCCUCCAACCUUGGUCUCCCAAAGUGCUGGGAUUACAGAUGUGAACUACCACACCCAGUCAACGUGCAGAAGGUUUUCAGUUUGAUGUAGUCUGAUGUAGUCUCAUGUAUUUAUCCUUCUUGUUGUUGCCUGAGCUUUUGGUGUGAUAUCCAAAAAUAUCAUUGCCAAGAUCAAUAUCAAGAAACUUUCCCCCUAUGUUUCUUACAGAAAUUUUAUGGUUUCAGAUUUUUCAUCCAUUUUGAGUAUAUUUGUGUGUAUGAUGUAAGAUAAGGGUCCAGUCUCCCCAGUGUUGGAUAUCCAAUUUUCAUAACACCAUUUAUUGAAGAGAUUAUUCUUUCUCCACUGUGUUUUCUUGAUGUCCUUGUCAAAAAUUAGUUGACUUUUAUAUGCUUGGGUUUAUUUCUGGGCUCUAUUCUGUU
rnacentral:lncRNA from 10 species